rnacentral:rRNA from 1 species
AAAAUUAAAGGUCUAAUCUGCCCAAUGAUAAUUGAAUGGCCGCGGUAACUUGACCGUGCAAAGGUAGCAUAAUUAUUAGUCUUUUAAUUGAAGGCUUGAAUGAAUGAUUGGAUGAAAAAUAAACUUUAUUAACAAAAAUUAUUUAAUUUAUUAUUUAAGUAAAAAUUCUUAAAUAUUCAAGUGGGACGAGAAGACCCUAUAGAGUUUUAUUUUUAUUUUUAUCAUAAUAUUUUAGAAUUAAUAUUUUUAUAAUAAAAGUAAAUUUUUUAUUGGGGUGAUAUUAAAAAUUAUUAAACUUUUAAUUAAUAUUUCAUUAAUAUAUGUAUUAUUGAUCCAGAAUAAAAUUUUGAUUAUAAGAAUAAAUUACCUUAGGGAUAACAGCGUUAUUAAUUUGAAGAGUUCAAAUCGAUAAAUUAGUUUGCGACCUCGAUGUUGGAUUAAGAAUAAAUUUUGAAGUAGUAUUUAAAAUUAUAGGUCUGUUCGACCUUUAAAUUCUUACG